GGGGUCUUAGGGCCAGGAUUUGGGAUUGGGGGCUGGGGGAUUAGGGAUGGGGCCUGGAUCCGGGGAUUUAGGGCUGGGACACGGGAUUGGGGGAUGGAGGUUGCAGAUGGGACAUGGGAUUUGGGGCUGGCAGAUUAGGGAUGUGGGGCUGGACCCAGGGGUUUAGGGCAGGGACGCAGGAUUGGGGGCUGGGAGAUUAGGGACAGGGGGAUGGGAUAUGGGGCUGGGGUCUUAGGGCCGGGACACGGGAUUUGGUGAUGGGGGAUUAGGGGCAGGGGAUGGGAUUGGGGACCAGGGGAUUGGGGAUGGGACACAGGAUUGGGGGCUGGGGGAUUAGGGCUGGGGCCUGGACAUGGGAUUUGGGGAUGGGGUAUUAGGGAUGGGACACGGGAUUUGGGGGCCGGAGGAUUAGGGAUGGGGCCUGGAUCUAGGGGUUUAGGGCCAGGACACGGGAUUGGGGGCCAGGGGAUUAGGGAUGGGACACAGGGAUGGGGGAUUAGGGAUGGGGGCCUGGACCCGGGGGUUUAGGGCCAGGACACAGGAUUUGGUGAUGGAGGAUUAGGGCCAGGACAUGGGAUUUGGGGAUGGGGGAUUAGGGCAGGGGAUGGGGUUGGGGGCCGGGGGAUUAGGGAUGGGGCCUGCACGUGGGAGUUUAGGGCUGGGACAUGGGAUUUGGAGAUGGGGGAUUAGGGAGAGGGGGACAGAGCCGGGGGUUGGGGAUUAGGGGUAAGGGGAUGCUGCCUGGGGAUGGAGCCCGGGGAUGGGGGAUUAGGGAGGCAGAGGGGGGCCCUGAGGUAGGGACAGGGGAUUAGGGAUGGAGCCCGGGGAUGAGGACAGGGGAUUAGGGCCUGGGGAGGCGGAUUUAGGGGAUGGGGAUAGGUCGGGGGACGGGGUUUGGGGAUGGCUAACUGCGCCCUUCCUAUGCAGCGUUAGAAAGCAGCACACAAAAGUACUCGUUAUCGCUGUUUCCUCGUCUAAAACCAGCUCCGCUCGCGCCAGCUCCCCUAACCCCACCCCGAAAAACCUGUGUGCAAGCAGCCGCCGGCAACGACGGACUUGCGAGAAAUGCCGCCAUUCCGCUUGCUUAUCUUCCUUAAUUGCCUGCCUGCGUGAGGACACGGAUCCGAAUAGCUGCUACAGAGCAAGCUGCUCUGCCACAGCUCCUCCUGUGCCCAUCCUCCUGUUGAAGAAAUGUCAAAUACUCCACGCUGAGGCGCGCUGA
rnacentral:lncRNA from 1 species